GGGGAAGGGGUUAGUGGGAGGAUGAUCGCUUUGAGGGCCUCGGGUAUUGUGUACUGCUGCUGCUGCUGCUGGUGCUGGUGUCCUCUGUUUCUGCUCUUGGUGUCGAAGAAGCUUUCCAACUGCUGGUGUACUGUUGCCCUGUCCGUAGAUAGCAGACUUCUGUUUAGUUUUAGGUUCUAUAUUUCAGUUUACCAUGUUUAUUGCAUAAAAACCUUCAGUUUGUUCUACUCUUCAAAAUCUUUUUUGCUUUUAUAAAUCUUGCAUUGGUAUGGUUUGCCACUAUUUUUAAAGCUUGUGCAUGAAUUUCUGAAGGGUUUUAGGUUUUUACUUUAUUUAUUGACUUCACCUGCCGUCUAUUUGGUUAUAGUUCUAGUUAGGAAUGAAUGAACAAAACACAUUUACUGUGGCUUAAUUUAUUUUAAAGAUAUUUUACAUUUAUGAUGUGGUUAUACUGGGCUGUCUUUUGGAAGGAGAGGGCGCAGUGAAUUUGGUUGAAAAAGCAACAGACUGCACGUCUUUCGAGAAAGAAAAAAUAUAUCUAUAUCAUUUUUCUGCCUUACAUUUUCUAGUGAUGGUAACUUGUUUAGAAUUCAACGAAGAAAUAUAGUCGCACACACUCACCACCUUCAGGCUUCAUUCACAGGUAUUUCACAACACUUGCAUCUUUGGGAGAAAAAGACAAACACAAAGGCUUUUGGAUGAGGAGUAUCUGAUUAUAGGCACAGGGUUGUCAUGGUUUAAUUGUGCUAUGAUGCAGGUAACAAAUGCAGUCAGUCCAUGCCAUUUUCAAAGUGCUCGUUAGUUCAAAGUACAAACAGACCAAAAAGUGCACAAACAAACAAAACGUAAAAACUGAAACGCUUUCCAAUUGGAAUGUAUGUAUACAAGUUUAUAUUCUGCAGCCAGGGAUCAAAGGUCACCAUGAAAUAGUGCAACAAGUUUCCAUGUGCACAAUGGUCACACCUGCAAUCUUCAUGCACACAAGGUAAUGACCACGGAAUGUUUCGGACUCCGUAAGACAUGAAACAUGGAGAACACCAUCGAGACAGUUUGUACUCAGUGGCAUGCUUACUGAUUCCUUAAAGACCCACUUGGGUGAAGAUUUUUAAUGACAGGGCUAAGUUCCUUAAAAGAUGUGGUUCUCACAAUCUAGGUAUCAACAGGAAAAGAUCAAAUCCAUGCAAGAACGUGGGUACCCUCUCACUAGUCCCAUCACAUGGAUUCCAAUUAGACAUUUUUCUGUGAAGGUUGUUAACUCCUUUGUUUGAAAACAAAAGGAUUUUUAUUCCUGUGAGUCUUUAAACAUUAGACACUUUCAGAUAAAUAAGGUAAAGAAAGGAUGGACAGGCAGACCCACUUUCUUUUUAGAGAUUUGAGACCGACGGUUGAGGUAUAAAAGACACACAUUCAUAAUCUUCAAACGAAAUCCACAAAAUCAUCAGAAGACAAAUAAAGACGACGGAGAAGUAUAUAAUUUUUUUUUUCAGUUUUAAGGAGCUGACUGGCUGAACUUAAAAAGUUGAAGGCAUCGUGAGAGAAGCUUCUACAGUCAGUCGUGACAGAUGAGUGAAGCUUAACUUCAAAAUGAAACAAUGAAAUUUCCCGCGAGGAAAACACGGACAAUAAAAUAUGAAAUGCUUUUGUUAUUCCUCUUAUGUGUAGCAAACAAUUAAGUUCACAUUGUUAAAAGAAAAGUCUGUAAUUAAAAAAUGGUCAAGUAUGACACGUGGGUGACUUACUUAUUGAUGGAAACUGUGCUGUUUUGUGAAAAUGUUUAUUUAUUUUCUUUUGUCUAGAUGCUUGUGCUACGGCAAUGUUUCUCGUCACUAUGGUGUUACACAGAACUAUAGCAUCUAGAAUGUGUUUACAUUCGUCGAUCGUUUAACAAUAAAAUUUCUGACACAAUGAUUGGCCAGGUAAAUGCGACAUAAUACUCACUCAUGUGCCAAAUAAUGCACUUAUGAAUUUGAUACAAGUGUUACAUUCUAAUAAGUUCUCCGUGCUUUUUAAGCUGUUCAAAUACAGUAUCUAUAUUUUAUUUUGUGCACAGAUUAUUUUCAAUAAACCCAUUUGUGGUGAGUAAAUACAUUAAGUUGUUUUUCAAAUAAUUUUUGUAUAAGCUGUCAUAAAUAAAUACAUAAACAAACAAGCAAAUCGAAAUAAACAGUUCUUGAACCCC